GAAAUGCGAUAAGUAAUGUGAAUUGCAGAAUUCAGUGAAUCAUCGAAUCUUUGAACGCACAUUGCGCCCCCUGGUAUUCCGGGGGGCAUGCCUGUUCGAUCGUCAUUUCACCACUCAAGCCUCGCUUGGUAUUGGGCAACGCGGUCCGCCGCGUGCCUCAAAUCGACCGGCUGGGUCUUCUGUCCCCUAAGCGUUGUGGAAACUAUUCGCUAAAGGGUGUUCGGGAGGCUACGCCGUAAAACAACCCCAUUUCUAAGGUUGACCUCGGAUCAGGUAGGGAUACCCGCUGAACUUAAGC
rnacentral:misc_RNA from 1 species